AUGGAUGCUUCCAAGUGCACCGUCAAGUUUCAACAUCCUCAUUGCUGGAAGUUGCCUUCUGAGCAGCUGUUUGUGGGUACUGAUAGCAUGACAGGCUCAUCUUGGGCAACUCAACGUCAUUGUUUCCUGGAAUCUAUGCUAAUGAAGACAAAGACGCAUUAAAGCAGAAUUGGUGAGACAAAUAUCGCCAUAAAUAGGCCUUAAUAUGCAUAAUAAAAUGAAUAGUUUUAAUAAUUAUUUUGAAAUAACAGCUAUAAUAUUACAUUUUCUAAGUCACUGCAUAGUUGGCCUUUUGUUGGCUUCAGUUUUUUUCAGGUGAAAAUAUUACGUAAUAAUAAUAAUAAUUUUAUUAUAUAAUUCCACAUAUAUACAUGUAUGUGUGUGUGUGUGUGUAUAUAUAUAUUAAAUAUAAACAGAACACACUCACAUAUAUUAUGUAAACACAAGCUUAUUUUGGAUGCGAUUAAUCGCAGUUAAUCAUUUGACAGCCCUACUUUCUCGCACCAGUCAGUGGCUCUGACAGAGAGAUCGCCAAGUCAUAACAGAGCAUUUCUACACUUGCAGCUCUGCAAUGACAAUCUGUUUCUUAGCUGCUCCAUUUUUUUUUCAUAGGCUGGUGCCAUUAUUGCUUGUGACUGCUUGCAAGCACACACUGUGAUUUAGAGUAUGGAAGUGUAGUAGGCAAUGAAACUUCAGCCAAUGAUUUGUGUGUUGCGUUUCACCUUAGAAGGGGACGUUUGUUGACUGUAAAAAAAAUCUAAAAUUGUGAAAUCAUGUUUAGUUAACACAAUAGAGUGUUGUUAAAUUUCAACAAAGAACGUGAAAGCCUAACUUUACACAAAGGACUAAGGAAACCUGAUACAUUUCUUUGAAAAUGCUGCCAUCUGGUGGAUGAAAGAUUAUGGUCAAAGAUAUAAAUGUUUGCGUAACACUAGAGUCAGUUUGGUAACACAUUUUCUGUUUACAGUACUGUAAGUAAAUAAAUAUUGAAAGCCGUUUUGUACAUGCCAUAUUACUUUUAUAUUUUCAGUUUUCAUUUACAUUUUCAUUUUAGCUUAAGUUUUAUUAAUUUUGUUAUGUACUUUUCUCGUUUUUAUUAGUUAAAAAAAUUCUAUAUAGACCAAAUAUUUAAUUUAUUUUUAUUUCAGUUUUAGUAAUUUUAGUAGCAACUUAAACUUAUUUCAGUUGGUU
rnacentral:lncRNA from 1 species